CCUACGGGUGGCAGCAGUGGGGGAUAUUGCACAAUGGGGGGAACCCUGAUGCAGCGACGCCGCGUGGGUGAAGAAGCGUUUCGGCGCGUAAAGCCCUAUCGGCAGGGAAGAAGAUGACGGUACGUGACCAAGAAGCCCCGGCUAACUACGUGCCAGCAGCCGCGGGAAUACGGAGGGGGCCAGCGUUAUCCGGAUUUACUGGGGGUAAAGGGGGCGCAGACGGCAAUGCAAGCCAGGAGUGAAAGACUCGGGCCCAACCCCCGGACUGCUCUUGGAACUGCAUGGCUGGAGUACACGAGGGGAAGGCGGAAUGCCUAGUGUAGCGGUGAAAUGCGUAGAUAUUAGGAGGAACACCGGUGGCGAAGGCGGCCUGCUGGACUGUGACUGACGUUGAGGCCCGAAGGCGUGGGGAGCAAACAGGAUUAGAUACCCGGGUAGUC
rnacentral:rRNA from 1 species